rnacentral:pre_miRNA from 1 species
AAAAAGACAAACUCUGGUUUCCGUGCCCAACGUUUGACUGUCCGUCUUAUUUAAAAAAAAUAUGAAAAAAUUAAAAAGACAAGUCACGCAUAAAAUAUUAAUCAUGUUUUAUCAUCUAACAACAAUGAAAAUACGAAUUAUAAAAAAAUUUCAUAUAAGACGCACAGUCAAAAUUGGACACGGAAACCCAAGGUUUGCCUUUUU